UAAUAUCUAAGAAUAUAUAAGGAAUAUGUUUCAAUAACAUUUUUACCCUUAUGAUAAUUUUUUCAAGGAAACAUGAUAAUUUCAUUCUUUAAAUUUUUAAAGUUUACGAAAUCUUUUAAAUUUUUUAAUGUUUUGCACGCUUAUAAUUUUAAUUUUUUUUUAUAAUUUUCAAAAUAGAUUAUGAUUUUUUUAGUUUUUUUAUAUAAUUUUCUAAGUUUUCAGAUUUUUUUGGGUGUUUUUUUUCUAGAUUUAAUGGUUUUUUUAUUUUUAUAUAAUUUUAACAUUUUAAGUGUUUUUUUUCUUUUCCUUGACACGUGGUGGUGUAAUUGGUUGACUUAGAUUUUUAACAAAAAUUUGGGUUGGGGUAACUGGGAUUAAUAGAAUAAAAAUAUAAGGGUCAAAUUGAAAAAAUAAUACAGAUAUCAAAGCGAUAAUUUAGCUAUAGUAAAAGAGCCAAAAGUUGUAUUAAGCUUUUCUUAUUGUUAAUGAUUUUUUAUAUAUUUUUUUAAGAUUUUUAAGUGAUUUUUUUUCUUGACACAUGGUAACAUGUUAUUGG
rnacentral:lncRNA from 1 species